GUCAAAGGGGCGACACAGGAGUCUAUUUACAUUCUCCCCAGCCUGAGCUCGUGCAUCCUGCCUUUUGUCCUGUUGGAUUUUGCAUGGCUCAGAGCUGGCUCGGAACACAGGGAGGGACAGUCCCAGAGGCAGAGCUUGCUUGCCCCUGCUAUUUAGAGCUCACAGUGAUCAAAGAUUGAAAACCGGCCUCUUCCUCAAACAACAUGAGUCAUUGGCCAAUGCAGAUGUGAGCAAAAGCAUCUUAGCCUCUCUGUUUUCAUACAGGUAGAGAUGGCUUAGAUGAAGAGGAAGAUGAAGAUGUAAGGAAGACCUUGACUGAAGCAGAAAGUGUUGGUUUAUCUCUGCAUCUGUAGAAGCCUAGAAAAUGAGGCAGCUCCCGUGUCCAUCUCAAACACGGCUGUGGAGCCAACCAAGGAUUGCUGGU
rnacentral:lncRNA from 1 species